AGAGUUUGAUCCUGGCUCAGAACGAACGCUGGCGGCGUGCUUAACACAUGCAAGUCGUACGAGAAACCGGAACUUCGGUUCCGGGAGUAAAGUGGCGCACGGGUGAGUAACGCGUAGGUAAUCUACCCUUGGGUUUGGAAUAACCCGCCGAAAGGCGGACUAAUACCGGAUAAAAUUUUUCAGAGGGAUCUGAAAGAUCAAAGGUGGCCUCUCCAUGGAUGCUACUGCCUGAGGAUGAGCCUGCGUCCCAUUAGCUUGUUGGUAGGGUAAUGGCCUACCAAGGCUACGAUGGGUAGCUGGUCUGAGAGGAUGACCAGCCACACUGGAACUGGAACACGGUCCAGACUCCUACGGGAGGCAGCAGUGAGGAAUAUUGCGCAAUGGGGGAAACCCUGACGCAGCGACGCCGCGUGGGUGAAGAAGGCCUUCGGGUCGUAAAGCCCUGUCUAGAGGGAAGAAAUUCUCAAUGGAAUAAUACCCAUUGAGAUUGACGGUACCUCUGGAGGAAGCACCGGCUAACUCCGUGCCAGCAGCCGCGGUAAUACGGAGGGUGCGAGCGUUGUUCGGAAUUACUGGGCGUAAAGCGGGUGUAGGCGGUUUGUUAAGUCAGAUGUGAAAGCCCACGGCUCAACCGUGGAAGUGCAUCUG
rnacentral:rRNA from 1 species